UACAGAGGGUGCGAACGUUGUUCGGAAUUACUGGGCAUAAAGCGCGCGUAGGCGGCGACGUAAGUGCAGGGUGAAAUCCCACGGCCCACCCGUGCGAAAUGCCCCGCAUACUGCGUUGCUCGAGUGUGGUAGGGGAGAGCGGAACUCCUGGUGGAGCGGUGAAAUGCGUAGAUAUCAGGAGGAACACCGGUGGCGAAGGUGGCUCUCUGGUCCGCAACUGACUCUGAAGCGCGAAAGCUAGGGUAGCGAACGGG
rnacentral:rRNA from 1 species